GGCAAGCGUUUGCUCUCCCGGCUCUUCCUGUGUCCUAUUAAUAGGACAAAUCCUCCUGCACGUGACCCUUCCUACAAAUAUUCGGCCACAGUUUGCUCGUACUUAUCGCUGGCUGCAAAAUUUUAAUUAAAACCAAAACAUUUUAAAGCACUUCGGUGCGGAACUUGGGGUGGAAGAACCGCAUGCAUGUACAUCUGCAAACCAUGUUAGGUAAAUUUAUCCUUAGCUGAGGGAGAAACCCUGAGCCUGCUGCCCCCGCGGAAAGGAUGCUGAGAGGAAGAGAUGCGGGCAAAGGCGAGCUAAAAACCCCCGUUGACAUCAUCGCUGUAACCAGGUACCAACGCGAACCAUCGCCCACCCUCAAGUUCAAGUUCACAAUUUAUUCUGCUCUCACGUCUUGCAUUGAAAAUGGAAAAGAAAGGAGACUAACCUGAAGAUACAGUGUAAAAUACAGUUUGGAAAAUGUUGCUUUCUCCUGUGUCAGAAGGUUUAUAAUAACAUAUUCUAAAGUACAACCAUAUCUUCAAAUCGAGAUUGUUGCUUUGAAGAUAAAGGUAAUUAAACCAUUCUUCCAUCUUUAAGCCCAGAAGAAAAUGACUUAGUUUUCCAUAUACUUCCAGAGAUGAUAAGCUGCUGAUUUAUGAUUCAACUCAAGUUAUAGGAGAGCUGAACAUAAUGUAAAACUAAAGGCCUAGCUUUGCUCUCAGCUGGUAUAAUUCCAGCUCAGCUCCUCCGGUGUUGAUGAAUUUAUUCCAGUUUUACCCUGCUGUGACCAAACGAGGAUGUAUUUUAUAGUCUGCAUCAAAGAAUCGGACCAUUGCCUUAUAUUUUCAGAAGAUGAGCUUUCUCUUAGUUGGUCUGUAGUCUCCCUAUCCCAUGCUUUUCCUAUUUUAUAUUUUUUUAAAAAAGCGUGUGUUUAGAAGAACAAUGAAGACCUCUCUACCUGAAAAACUGUUACACACAAAGCCUUGCAAACUUUUGUUUUUUAAACAGAAGUCCCCUGCAGACCAUGAAAAUUUGCUGUUUAAGUAUGAGGAAUGCUGCUCUUAAGCAUUCCUGGACUCCUUUUAUUUAGUUUUUUAGUUAGUUAUUUCUAAACUUGCCUUGUCAUGGAUUUAGAGACUGCUUUUCUUUACAUCAGCUGUACAGAUACAUAUAGGCAAAAGAGUGAGACUUACUUCAAGGCACUCGGAACCAGCUUUUGCAGAAGAGCCCUUUAAACUUGGGAAGGAUACUGUGAAGGAUUUGGUCAUGUUUAGAAACCAUUCAAAGUAGCUAUGACAACUUAAUGUUCCAGGGCCAAGAUCUUGUGCACAUACCAAAUCUCUGACACUAUCCAAGAUCCUUAUCCAAUGUGAAGAGGAAACUGUAAAAUUAGAAUUGCCUAAAACAACCCCUAGAGAGUAUUGCUGAUUCUUGAGAAGAUUUUUUUUUUCUUUACAUCUUAAAGACAUUUAUUUCUUAAAAGCUCUACAACAGUUAAAGAAAAGAAAAUAGUGAAACGAGUAAGGCAUCCAUAAACCCCAGAAAAACAGGUUCUCAGCUGGGUCCCUUUGUUAUUUGUUGAGAUUUCUUUAUCCUUCUUCAGUCACUUUAAUGGACUUGGACUGUUUUAGACGCCUCUAAAAUAUACUAAUAUAAUUUUCUUGAUUGUGUAUUUUAAAUGGGAGCGGUAUCGAAUCUGGGUUUCAGGUCCCCCUAAUCCGGAUCAUCUGGGAUUAAUUCUAAAUGUGGCCGAGGAAGAAACGCUCAGGGAGGCUGAUCUCAGCCAAGGCGGGUGGUCAGAGUUGGACCGAUCACCGUCUACCUGGUCCAGGCGGGUCAGAUGCUGACCGUAUUUUUUUUUGUAUUGCAUGUGGAAAUGAAGCAUUCUAACUGGUAAAAAUCUGCUUUUCUAUGUGUUUAAUAUGUUGCCUACAGCAUCUGUAACCUCUGCUUCGUGGUAAACGCUAGGGUCUGUAUUAAUUCUCUUACUUACUGAUUGUUAAUAUUGUUUCUGCUUCCCGUCCCCGCAUGUGCAUGACAAUGAGAUUUUUGCAUCUGGCUGCAUUUGACCACUUUCUGUUUCUCUGCAUGUGGCAGGGUUCCGUAAGACAGGUUUUUGUAAAGGAAGAGAGACCUGGAAAAUACAUUACUAAAGGUACUGAUCUAAAAAACCCAGGUGAAUAAACAAAGUUUUCGUUUCAGCAGCCAGGCUGUGGUUUUAAACAUUGUUUCAGGUAGAACCAAAUCCAAACAUUUUAAUAACGGCAUAUUAACAUAAAUGUCUUAUACAAAAUAUUCCUGGCCACUUUUAAUGAAAAUAAAAAGAGUGAGUGAUAUAUCUGGAUAAAUAGGAGUAGAUGGUAAUUUUCAUUAUUCCUCCUUUCCCCUCUCCUUUUACUAGCAGACUGGUGAGUAGUUACCUGGAGAACUAAAAGACGAAAUGGUUAAAUAUCCUCUUUAGUGAAUUUGGAACAGAAACUGCAAAAUAGAUAUCCCAACUCAGAGGCAAAUGCCUUAACCUUGGCCCUGUGGGGUCAUGCUCUUGAACGCUCUUCAUCUACUCAAUUAAUAGAGCCAAAGGAUUUUCGUCACUGAAAAAAAAUGUUCAGAUGUGUUUGCCAGAUUUGACAUUAGUUAAGGAUUGCUUUGAUUUGUGAAAACUGCAUUUUCAGUGAAUAAGUUAUUAUCCAGGAAAAACUCUCCACCAUGAGAAUGGUUAUCUGCAAGUCAGUGUUAACUUGGCAACCUUAAUAUUUGGCAGCAGAUUUUAACUUUACAUAACACCGAGUUAUUAUUAAUGUACCACAUUGCAGAUUUUAUGAAGGUAUCAAGUUUUCAAGUGUUUUUUAAAGCCAGGAAAUGCAAAAGAUAGGCUUUUUACAGAGGUGCGACUUUAACUAUGCUCUGUAUAUCCUGUAGAUUUAACGAUUUUUCACUUAAAAUAACAAUCAUUAGGUUAAUGCACAUAUUUAGUAAUCAAAGACAUGUACUAUACUGCCUGAAUACAAAGAGUCUCAUGUUAUGUUUCAAGAUCUUUUUCGUUUUCCUGAUUUAUAAAAUGACUGGUAUUAGUAUUACAUUGGCACUGUUUUUCUUUAUUUAUUUGACACAGUACUUAAAAUGUCUGCCUGGUC